rnacentral:misc_RNA from 1 species
AACCCUCAAGCCCCCGGGCUUGGUGUUGGGGAUCGGCGUGCCCUCGCGGCGCGCCGUCCCCGAAAUCUAGUGGCGGUCUCGCUGUAGCUUCCUCUGCGUAGUAGCACACCUCGCACUGGAAAGCAGCGCGGCCACGCCGUUAAACCCCCCACUUCUGAAAGGUUGACCUCGGAUCAGGUAGGAAUACCCGCUGAACUUAA